UACGUAGGGGGCGAGCGUUGUCCGGAGUUACUGGGCGUAAAGCGCACGCAGGCGGUCUGCUAAGUUUGGAGUGACAGUUGGUGGCUUAACUGCCAAAGUGCUUCGAAAACUGACAGACUUGAGGGCUUCAGAGGGACACGGAAUUCCGGGUGGAGUGGUGAAAUGCGUAGAUAUCGGGAGGAACACCUGUGGCGAAAGCGGCUCACUGGACCACAACUGACGCUGAGGCGCGAAAGCUAGGGGAGCAAACAGG
rnacentral:rRNA from 1 species